rnacentral:lncRNA from 10 species
GGCUCCUCUCUUCUAACAGAGGAAUACGUAUCCAAGUCAGGGAGCCAGUCAGGGGAGAAACUGUAGAAAUCACUGGAACACAUUAUGUAUGCGCAAGAGCAUUGAUAUUGGAUGAAAAAUAUUACAGCACACAGCCUUGUUUCCUCUUUAAAAUUGGACAUUUUAAUAUGUUAUUUUCUGCAAGUUGUAGGGAAGGAGCAGACCAUAAAACAGGAAACUUUUAGCCAAUAACUAUUCUAGUUCAGCCAAACACCACAGAAAAUACUGUGGCCCAAUCUUCACCCUGGCCAGAAAAGACUGAAGGGAGUGGAAGGCCUAAACUUCCACUCUCACUAGGCAAUAAUGAAGUGCCUCAAGCUACCCUGUUGGGUAGGUGGAGUAAGGAGACUGGACCUCCGCCUGUGCCUGACAGUAACAAGGUAUCCCCGCCUCUCUACACUGAGGUUGUGUCCUCCCUAGUAGAGAGCCAGAACUCUCAACCACCACCCAGCAGUAACAAGGCCACUCCACUGUCAGUGGAAACAACAAGAGGAACAGCAAGGAGGCACUCCUAGCCCUCCCAGACAUAGGAUUAUCAGUUGGAACAGCCAACCCUGCCCAGCAAUAACAGAGCCAUUCCUUUCUUAGUGACAAUGGAGACCCAGCAGAGAAACUAGAUUUUUACCCUUACCUGGCAGUAAUGAGGCCCCCUCCUUGCUUCCAUGCUGAAGCACUGUCAGAAGAAGCCAACUAAAAUGGAAGGUUUGAAUAAGAGCCAAAGUCUCCAAACAUAAACCCCAAAAUGUAUAUGUUCCAGUCAAUCUUUAUACAGAGAACCAGAAAAAUCUCAACUGGAAUUUUUAAAAAAUCAAUAAUCAUCAAUAGUGAGAUGACAGAUAUGUUAAAUUAUUUGACAUAAUUUUUUAAAAACCAUUAUAAAAAUGCUUCAGUAAGCAAUUACUAACACAUUUGAAACAAAUGAAAAAAUGCAAGCUCAGCAAAGAGCUACAAACCUUUAGCAAAAAAAAAAAAAAAAAAAAAAAGAUGAUAAAAAAACACAAUAUCAAAGACAUGGAAUCAACCUAAAUGCCCAUCAAUGAUAGACUGGAUAAAGAAAAUGUGGUACAUAUGCACCAUGGAAUACUACACAGCCAUAAAAAAGAAUGAGAUCAUGUCCUUUGCAUGGACAUGAAUGGAGCUGGAGGCCAUUAUCCUUAGCAAACUGCCAUAGGAACAGAAAACCAAAUAUUACAUGUUUUUACCUAUAAGUGGGAGCUGAAUGAUGAGAACACAUGGACAUAGAGGGAAAGAACACACACUGGGGCCUUUCAGAGGGUGAAGGGUGGGAGGAGGGAGAGGAUCAGGAAAAAAUUACUAAUAAGUACUAGGCUUAAUACCUGGGUGAUGAAAUAAUUUGUACGACAAACCCCAUGACACAAGUUUACCUAUGUAACAAACCUGCACCUGUACCCUUGAUCUUAAAAUCAAAGUAAAAAAAAAAUAGAAAUUUUAGAACUGAAAGAUACAAUAACAAAAAUAAAUACAACUCAGCAAAUAAGCUCAACAUCAGAAUGGAAAGGAAUGGACAAUAUAGUGAAUGAUCUCAAUGAUAUAACAAUAAAAAUUACCCAAUCUGAGUAAGAGAGAACAUGACUUAAAAAAACAAAAACAAAAACAAAACAAAAAAAAACACAGAGCCUGAGAAACCUAUGGGGCUAGAUCUAAUAUUAAUGACAUUGGGGUUUGCAAACAAUAGGAUAUAAAGGGCAAGACUGAAAAAGUCUUCAAAGAAAUAGUGACUAUAAUUUCCCAAAUUUGGCAAAAGAAAUAAACCUAAAAAUUAAAGAAGCUAAUGUAAACCCCUAAGAGAUAUACCCAGAGAAAUUUAUAUCUAGGCACUUCACAGUAAAACUCCAGAAAACUAAAGGAAAAAAACUAUCUUGAAAGCAGUGAGAGAGAAAUGGUGCCUCAGCUAUAAAGAAAAAGAAAAUUGAAUGAUAGUAGAUUUCUCACCAGAAGAAAGUGAUGCAUUUUUCAAAUGCUAAAAGAACUCCCAAACCAGAAUUCAAUAUACAGCAAAACUAUCCUUUAGGAAUGAAGGGAAAAUCAUGCCAUUCUCAGAGGAGGGAAAGCUAAGUGAAUUUGUGACCUGUAGAUCUACCCUAAAAUAAUGGCUGAAGAAAUCUCACUAAACAGAAAGGAAAUUAUAAAAGAAGGACUUUUGGAACAUUAGGAGGGAAAAGGGAAUAAAGCAUAAAAAUAUGUGUGAAAGUAAUACAUUGUCCUUCACUUCUUGAGUUUUCAGAAUUAUAUUUGAUGGUUGAUGCAAUAUUUUAACACUUGCUGAUGUGAUUCUCAAUAUGAAUAGGAGAAAUAUUUAAGGCAGCUGGAUUAUAAAUGGUAAAGGGACAUAUAGGAAGGUAAAGUUGCUACCCUUCACUCACAAUAAAAUGUUGAUAAUGAUAGACUGUGACAAAUUAUGUUUAUAUUGUAAAUACAUUGAACUACCAAUAAAAAUUAUAUAUGAAGACAUGCAAUUGAAAAUACUAUAGACAAAAAUGAUAUCCAAGUAAAUAAUAUCCAAGUAACCCGUAGGAAAGUAAAGAGAUAGGGAGAGAUAGAAAUAAAAAACAGAGCAGACUGGGCGCGGUGGCUUACGCCUUUAAUCCCAGCACUUUGGGAGGCCAAGGCAGGCAGAUCACUUGAGGUCAGGAGUUUGAGACCAGCCUGGCCAACAUGGUGAAACCCCGUCUCUUCUAAAAAUACAAAAAUUAGCCAGGUGUGGUAGUGUGUGCCUGUAAUUCCAGCUACUCGGGAGGCUGAGGUGGGAGGAUCACUUGAACCCACGAGGGGGAGGUUGCAGUGAGCCGAGAUCAUCCUGCCACUGCCCUCAAGCCUGGGCAACAGAAUGGGACUUCAUCUCAAACAAACAAGAAAGAAAGAAAAAAAGAAAGAAAGAAAGAACAGAGCAAACAGAAAACAAAAAAUAAAACGCUAUACCUAAUCCCCAACAUUUCAAUAAUACAUUAAAUUAAAUGGCUUAAUACAUCAAUUAAAAGACAAAAAUUGGCAGAAUGUAUUUAAAAACAUGAACUAUCUGUAGGUCGUCUAAAAAAAUACACUUCAGUUAUAAUGGUAUAAGCAAACUAAAAGUAAAAGGAUGGAAAAAGAUAAAAUAUAAAAACUUUAAUCAAAAGAAAGCAGAAAUGUCUGUAUUAGAAUUAAAUAAAGUAGACUUCAGAGUAAAGAAAAUUAACAGAGAUAGAGAGGAACAUUAUAUAAAGAUAAAAAGGUGAAUUCACCAAGAAGAUAUAGCAAGUCUAAAUGUGUGUGUAUGCGCCUAACAAAAGAACUGCAAAAUAGAUGAAGUCAACUUGAUGGAUGUGAAAGGAGAAAUAGACAACCCACAAUUAGAGUUGGAGACUGAAAUAUCCCUUUCAACAUUCCAUAUAAGUAGUGGGAAACCACAAAUAAUAUUGAGGAACUUAAACCAGUAUCAACCGACAGGAUCUAAACAACAUUUAUAGAACAUUUCUCUUAAUAACAUCAAAAUACACAUUCUUUUCAAGUGUCCAUAAAAUACAUAUCAAGAUAGACCAUAUCCUAGGCCACAAAACAAACCUUAUAAAUUAAAAUAAAAUUAUACAAAGUGUCUUCUCUGACUAGUGUGGAAUCAAACUGGAGAUCAAUAAUGGAAAGAUAAUAUUAAAAAAAUCCCAACACUUAGAAACUAAACAACACAUUCUUAAUAAUCC